AUCUCUUCCUGAUAUGUAUGUAUUUUGUUUGUUUGAUUGUAAUCAUCAAGGAGUUCCUAGAGUUUUGAGUUCUGAUACUCUUGUUUAAUUGUUAAACUUUAUUUUUAAUUGUUGAAUGUAUGUUAAAAAUUUUAAAAUCUAUAUUUUCCUAUAUCACGAAAACCCAACAGCCUCUACAGAAUGUCCACAUGAAGACCGGCGC
rnacentral:lncRNA from 1 species